UACGUAGGGUGCAAGCGUUAAUCGGAAUUACUGGGCGUAAAGCGUGCGUAGGUGGUUUUUUAAGUCCGUUGUGAAAGCCCUGGGCUCAACCUGGGAAUGGCAGUGGAUACUGGAAAGCUAGAGUGCGGUAGAGGGUAGUGGAAUUCUCGGUGUAGCAGUGAAAUGCGUAGAGAUCGGGAGGAACACCAGUGGCGAAGGCGGCUACCUGGACCAGCACUGACACUGAGGCACGAAAGCGUGGGGAGCAAACAGGG
rnacentral:rRNA from 1 species